CAGCCGCCGCGGGAAUACGUAGGUGGCAAGCGUUGUCCGGAAUUAUUGGGCGUAAAGCGCGCGCAGGCGGAUAGGUCAGUCUGUCUUAAAAGUUCGGGGCUUAACCCCGUGAUGGGAUGGAAACUGCCAAUCUAGAGUAUCGGAGAGGAAAGUGGAAUUCCUAGUGUAGCGGUGAAAUGCGUAGAUAUUAGGAAGAACACCAGUGGCGAAGGCGACUUUCUGGACGAAAACUGACGCUGAGGCGCGAAAGCCAGGGGAGCGAACGGGAUUAGAUACCCCUGUAGUCCCUGUCUCUUAUACA
rnacentral:rRNA from 1 species